CACUGGAAUGCAACAACCUGCAGUCCACAUUAGAUGAUCCACAGUUGGUAAAUACACUUAUCUCAACUGAGUUGGAACAAGGGUUUCUGUUGGGACCAUUCUUUUCCCCACCCUUCACGUCUUGGAGAACCAACCCUAUAGGGGUGGUCACAUGGAAGACCUCACUUAAACCCAGAUUGAUAAUUGAUUUAUCAGUACCACACUCCUCCACUAUCCCCAGCCUAAACUCUCUAAUACCUUCUGAAGAAUUUUCACUGCACUACGCCACUAUCGACCAUGCCAUAGGGGCCAUUAUACAAGCAGGUACGGGAGCAUGGCUGAGUAAAACAGAUGUGGUAAACGCCUUUAAGCUACUACCCAUACAUCCUUCCCUGUGGCAUCUACACGGUAUUAAAUGGCAAGGGAGGUAUUAUUUUUUCACCCGACUAAGUUUUGGCUCCAAAAGCAGUCCACGUAUUUUUGACACGUUUGCAGAGGCUCUAUGUUGGCUCUUACUAAAUGUGUGCAAGUGCCCUUCGGUUAUCCACUAUCUAGACGAUUUCCUCUUGAUUGAGAAUAACACUCUUCCACCUAGUAGUUUGAAUCACUUAUUGGCACUGUUUGAAUCUCUUAACAUUCCUGUCUCUCCUCACAAAACUUUGG